UACGGAGGGUGCGAGCGUUGUCCGGAAUCAUUGGGCGUAAAGGGCGCGUAGGUGGCCACUUCAAGCGUGCGGUGAAAGCCCGGGGCUCAACUCCGGAAUUGCCUUUAAGACUGCAUCGCUAGAAUUGUGGAGAGGUAAGUGGAAUUCCGAGUGUAGAGGUGAAAUUCGUAGAUAUUCGGAAGAACACCAGUGGCGAAGGCGACUUACUGGACACAUAUUGACGCUGAGGUGCGAAAGCGUGGGGAGCAAACAGG
rnacentral:rRNA from 1 species